AGGCGCGGUAUAAAAGGGUGCUUCCAUUGGAAGCAUCGGCUCAUUUGUCAAUCAACCGCUGUGGAGUGAGGAUCAAAUUCAAGAUGGCGGCCCGAGUCAAGUACAAAAUACAGAGGGGAGAGGUUUCAAAGCGCUUCCUGAUGUAUAAAGAUGCCAACUCUACCUUCUAGUCCGAUAGAAUGUGUAAAAAAGGAAACUCAGUAGAAGUAAAGCUACGAAACCAACGUGAUUUAUGCAAAAAAGGAGCAAACGCAUGAUCGGAAAACAACGAUUUCAAACCUCGACAAAAGCUAUACCCAAGAAGCAAGUCAUGGUGACAUCUGAAUAAUCAACAAGAUAUAUUGCUCAAGAAAAAGCAGAUACAUAGACAAUUGUAUUACAUUUUCCAUGUGAUUUUAAAUCAUAAACAUUCUUUUGUAAAGGAAACAUGUUUUGUUGCUAUAAGAUUGAUUGAUGUGUUAGUGAAGUGUAUAAAGCAACCAGUCAUAUUUUAUAAACUGCAUUAUAGAUUAUACUUUUGAAUAAACCAAAAAGCUUUCUCUUUUA